GGACUACUCGGGUAUCUAAUCCCGUUUGCUCCCCUGGCCUUCGUGCCUCAGCGUCAGCUGCUGUCCAGAGAUUCGCCUUCGCCACUGGUCUUCCUUACGAUAUCUACGCAUUUCACUGCUACACCGUAAAUUCCAAUCUCCUCUCCAGAGCUCUAGCAAGGCAGUAUCAAGUGCAGUUUCGGGGUUGAGCCCCGAGAUUUCACACCUGACUUGCCCCGCCGCCUACGCACCCUUUACGCCCAAUGAAUCCGAACAACGCUUGAGACCUCUGUAUUACCGCGGCUGCUGGCAC
rnacentral:rRNA from 2 species